rnacentral:rRNA from 1 species
AGAGAGAGACAUGCGCGCAUAUCAAUAAGCGGAGGAAAAGAAACUAACUAGGAUUCCCUCAGUAACGGCGAGUGAAGCGGGAAGAGCUCAAAUUUGAAAUCUUCAAGGUUCUACCUUGACGAAUUGUAGUUUAAAGAAGUGUUUUCUGUUGGAGUUUUGGUAAAAGUUCUUUGGAAUAGGACAUCAUAGAGGGUGAGAAUCCCGUAUUUGACCAUUAUUUCCAGCUUUGUGAUACACUUUCAAAGAGUCGGAUUGUUUGGGAAUGCAGUCCAAAAUGGGUGGUAAAUUUCAUCUAAAGCUAAAUAUUGGCGAGAGACCGAUAGCGAACAAGUACCGUGAGGGAAAGAUGAAAAGAACUUUGAAAAGAGAGUUAAACAGUACGUGAAAUUGUCAAAAGGGAAGCGUUUGACACCAGUGUUGUUUUCUCGAAAAUCAAUUAAAAAAGGCAGGAUUUUGUGUUGUAUUGACUUUAUCAGCUUUCUGCACUCUUUUCUUGUCUUUUUUAAUGCACUUUUCGUUAACAAGUCAACAUCAAUUUCUUUUGUUGUAAAAGGGUCAUUGGAAGGUGGCUUUCUUUUCGGAGAAAGUGUUUAUAGCCUUUGGCCUCUGCAAUCGGAGAGAUUGAGGUCUGCAGCGUAGAUCCUUCGGGGUUAGAUACAUUUGUGCUAAGUUAUAGCCUUUCAUAGACAACUUGUUGACUAUGAUCAGUCAUGUAGCUUACUCGCUUAUGCUAUUUUACCUACGCUUAGGAUGUUGAUGUGAUACUGCGAGC